rnacentral:rRNA from 1 species
UACGUAGGGUGCAAGCGUUGUCCGGAAUUAUUGGGCGUAAAGAGCUCGUAGGCGGUUUGUCGCGUCGGCUGUGAAAACUCGGGGCUCAACCCCGAGCCUGCAGUCGAUACGGGCAGACUAGAGUGCUGUAGGGGAGACUGGAAUUCCUGGUGUAGCGGUGAAAUGCGCAGAUAUCAGGAGGAACACCGGUGGCGAAGGCGGGUCUCUGGGCAGUAACUGACGCUUAGGAGCGAAAGCGUGGGGAGCAAACAGG